UCUCCCUUUGUUUCUCUGUUGCAUAACUUGCAUAGUUAGAUUUUUUUUAAGUAUCUAGUUAAUGUCAGGCAUGGAUUCUGUUGAUUAUGGCCAGCUAGACAAUUCUUUGCUUACUUUGUAUAAACAAGCCUCUCUUAUCAAACUAUUCUCUUUUUCUUGUAUCUCUUUUUUAUUUGCAGGGAGAAGAUUUGAAGGAGAUUGAUAGUCUGAAAGACAGGAUAACAAAACUCCAAUUGAGACAAAUGAGGAUGCUGGGUAAAGAUUUAUCAAACUUGAGCUUGAAAGAAGUGCAGCAGCUGGAAAAGCAACUCAGUGAAAGCCUACUGUCUGUAAAAGCUAAGAAGGACCAAUUGCUGAUGGAACAACCCGAGCAUUCAGGCAGGUAGGUA